rnacentral:rRNA from 1 species
CAGCCUGCCCAGUGACAAAGUUAAACGGCCGCGGUACCCUAACCGUGCGAAGGUAGCACAAUCACUUGUUCUUUAAAUGAGGACUAGUAUGAAUGGCAUCACGAGGGUUACACUGUCUCCCCCAUCCAAUCAGUGAAACUGAUCUCCCCGUGAAGAAGCGGGGAUAAAAAUAUAAGACGAGAAGACCCCAUGGAGCUUUAAACUCAGUAUCAACUGCUUUACAACAUACCUAAGUAACUUAGCAGAAAUGACUACUAGUUUUUGGUUGGGGUGACCGCGGAGCAAACACAACCUCCACGAUGAAUGGGCCUCCUACCCUUAUCCCAGAGCUACCACUCUAAGAAUCAAAAAAUUGACAAAAAUUGAUCCAAGUACUCUUGAUCAACGAACCAAGUUACCCUGGGGAUAACAGCGCAAUCCAUUUCAGAGCUCCUAUCGACAAAUGGGUUUACGACCUCGAUGUUGGAUCAGGGUAUCCCAGUGGUGCAGCCGCUACUAAAGGUUCGUUUGUUCAACGAUUAAAACCCUACGUGAUCUGAUCCAGACCGGA